ACGAUAACGAACGAGACCUCGACCUGCUAAAUAGUUCUGUAUAUCCUCCGGGAUAUAUUUGCAACUUCUUAGAGGGACUAUCGGUGAUUUAGCCGAUGGAAGUUCGAGGCAAUAACAGGUCUGUGAUGCCCUUAGAUGCCCUGGGCCGCACGCGCGCUACACUGAUACGUUCAUCGAGCUUACAACCUUGGUCGAGAGGCCUGGGUAAUCUUCUUAAACCGUAUCGUGCUGGGGAUAGAUUAUUGUAAUUUUUAAUCUUCAACGAGGAAUUCCUAGUAAACGCGAGUCAUCAACUCGCAUUGAUUACGUCCCUGCCCUUUGUACACACCGCCCGUCGCUAAUACCGAUUGAAUGGAUU
rnacentral:rRNA from 1 species